CUACGGAGGGUGCAAGCGUUACUCGGAAUCACUGGGCGUAAAGCGCGCGCAGGCGGUCUUUUAAGUUGGAUGUGAAAGCCUACGGCUCAACCGUAGAACUGCAUCCAAAACUAUUAGACUAGAGUGUGGGAGAGGAAGAUGGAAUUAGUUGUGUAGGGGUAAAAUCCGUAGAGAUAACUAGGAAUACCAAAAGCGAAGGCAAUCUUCUGGAACACUACUGACGCUGAGGCGCGAAAGUGUGGGGAGCAAACAGGAUUAGAAACCCCAGUAGUCC
rnacentral:rRNA from 1 species